rnacentral:rRNA from 1 species
UACGAAGGGGGCUAGCGUUGCUCGGAAUCACUGGGCGUAAAGCGCACGUAGGCGGAUUUCUAAGUCAGGGGUGAAAUCCUGGAGCUCAACUCCAGAACUGCCUUUGAUACUGGGAAUCUUCGAGUCCGGGAGAGGUGAGUGGAACUGCGAGUGUAGAGGUGAAAUUCGUAGAUAUUAGGAAGAACACCAGUGGCGAAGGCGGCUCACUGGCCCGAUACUGACGCUGAGGUGCGAAAGCGUGGGGAGCAAACAGG